GAACUAGUGAAGAGAGAUCCACGAAACUUCAUCAUCAAGCUGCAGCAGAUUCUGAGGAAAACACGGGAGGUUCUUGAACAGUCCCAGGAUGAGGUGGUGGUCCCACUGGCUCUCCUGUUCUCUUCCACUCUUCUGCAGACCCCUCACUUCUCCUCUGACUCUGGGGUGCUGCAGGAUGCCUGUGAGGUGUUCCACUGUUUCCUGUCCUGGCCUGAGCCCUGCUGCAGCGCCAGCCGACACCUGCUCUCCCUCAUCCAGCAGGAGCUCAGGGUGCCAGGUAAUUGAACCCUAGACUAUACAGCCUUCCUGUUGGUCUGGGUCUCAUUUCAUCUGUCACUUGUCACUGUCCUGAUUCAAGUUCCAUUUUCUUCCACAUGGAGGCACUAUUGUUUAAACCAGGGAUCUCCAACACUACCAUCCUGUAGGUUUUCACUCCAACCCUAAUCUAGCACACCUGAUUAUAAUAAUCAGCUGGUUGAUAAACUGAAUCAGGAUAGUUACUGGAGUUGGAUCAAAAACCUACAGGAGGGUAGUUCUCCAGGGACAGGGUUGGAGAGCCCUGGUUUAAACAAUACAAAAGGUAACGCCAUCACUUAUACUGUAUUUCCACCAGGUAUCUAAUUUCAAAGACUAGUGAGAGAACAGGGCUUGACCACCACCACCAAUCACUCCAAAACUAUGUAUGUCAACACAGACCAUCCGUGAUUAAAUCAUUCAACAUUGCUCCAACUUGAAACAUUUAAACACAAACCACUGUUCUCCUCUUUGUUGUGUGUGUGUGUUCAUAAUGUAUGUGUGUGUUCAUAAUGUAUGUAUGUGUGUGUUCAUAAUGUAUGUGUGUGCUCAUAAUGUAUGUGUGUGUUCAUAAUGUGUGUGUCACUGUAUUAGGACGGUAUUGUUAAUGAGCCUAGGUGAGGAUGUCCCUCCCGAGCUCAUGUCUGUCUCUGAGCAGCUGAGUGGUGUCUGUCACUCCCAGAGGGACACCUCCAUCACCCUGAUCAAACAUGCCUUCUGCCCUGGGGACCAAGUACCCCCUCCAGAUACUGCAUCAUGCACUGCAGCUUGUGACUGCAGUAACAGAGGCCCUGGAGACAGCAGCCUCUACACGGGACCCAGACGCAGCCAGAGAGAGUGCAUUGCAGAGCCUGAAGGGGCUGGUGGAGAGAAUUUGCAUACCCCCUCCAGACUGCCAUACAGGCCCUGGUGAGAGAAUUUUACUACAUGCGUCAUCAUAAUCUCACCAUCUGAGGGGUUCCUGGAACAGAUAAGCUGGUCAACUUUGGGCAAACAGGACUGACUGGAGAUGAUUAGAGACGGAUGAGGAAGUCAAAUGUUGAGUAAUGAGAAACUCAGUGGCACAUACAAUGCUUGAUCCUACUUGAUCUGAUUUAGUCUUGGUUGUUUCUCUUAUUAUUGGGAAAUGUCCAUACACUGACGCUGCCCUUAGCCAAAUGUCACAUGUACUCCUGGGAUAAGGACAACUUAGGUAAUGAGCUUUUCAAGUUGCUUCUUUCUCCAUAUCCAAGACAGUAAAUUUCAAACCCAUACUGUAAAAUCUGUAUAGCCUUUGUCUGUGGAUUGUCAAUUAUGUAAUUCUGUGUAUUCGUUCAGACAUUUUAAAAGACAUUCUUCAGAGUGAGCUGGACCGGCUCCCAGUCUUUAACCUUUACAGAGACAAGGGAGAGGAGGAAGAGGAAACAGAGGAGGAAACAAUAAAGAACCGAGACACAGACCACCGGAUCUCCACUGUGUCCACCUGCUCCAGACUAUGUUCUCCAGCUACUCCCUGACCUCCAGCUUGUCUGUGCCCUCCACCCUGUCUGUAUGUCUGAAAAACAUCAGUCAUGUGGACUCAAUCAUCCAUUUACUGGUGUAGACAGAUGUGCCUGUAUUGAAUUUCCUUGUAUCCUACAAUGUUUCACAGUGUAUCUGAAUACAGUGUUGAGAUGUAGUACCAGUCAAAGGUUGACACACCUACACAUUCAAAGGUUUUUCUUAACUUUUACUAUUUCAUACAUUGUAGAAUAAUAGUGAAGACAUCACAACUAUGAAAUAACACAUCAUCGAACCCUGGAAUGACUAGGUGUGUCCAAACUUAGAAUACACAAGGUGCAAUACCGAAAUUUGGUUGUGCAUCAGCUAUUUCUCUUGGUACUGUAUAUCAGUCACUCAAUUUGAUUGAUAAAUUAGUAUAGCCAUCAUCUAAACUUGUAGUAAUCAUGGUCGAAUUCCGACCCUUUACUCAGGGGCCCCCAUUGGUUCUGACUUAGCAUAUGUGGACAACUACAAAUACCGAGGUGUCUGGCUAGACUAUAAACUCUCCUUCCAGACUCAUAUUAAGCAUCUCCAAUCCAAAAUUAAAUCUAGAAUCGGCUUCCUAUUUUGCAAUAA